UGCAGGUAGAAGAGAAGAGAAGCUGGUGGUGUCAGCUCCCUGAAUCUCAGCUGGGUUUCACUGGUGCAAGUUAAGGCUACGGAGGCUUUUAGCUUUGUCAUCUAUAUCCCAUGCUAGUAUAGUUUCAACUGUUGUAAUUUCUUGUUUUUGUCUGCAUCUGUUUUAAAUGAUUGUUCCGUGUGUUGUUGCAUUUCUUGAGCUUCGUCUGCAUAAAAAUUUUCUUCGGCAGUUACUUGAUGAUCUUGAUCAACUUCGUUAUUUUCAUGAUGUACAAACUUAAGUAAAGAACCCUUCUGUGCUUGUAUAGCUAAUCCUA